AUCCAAUAUAAUUAUUUUCUCCUCUCCUCAUUGUUUCGCCGAUUCUUCUCCCACUUCCCCCGAUCCACCGCGCCACCCCUCUCCCUUGUUCUCCUCUUCAUCGCCGUCAACCACCGACAGUGAGAUGCUGGUUGCCGCCGACCCCUUUCCGGUCACCCUUGCCUCCCCUUUGUCGAAGAUUUCGAUGCGGGAAGCCCGAAGUCGACGCCCUCUCAUGCCCUAGUCUCAAGCCACAACCGCCUCUUCGUCACCAGCCCUCUCCGGCCACGAGCAAGAAGCUGUCAGAGAACAUUGAUGACAUCCACGUCUAUUUCCCAGGGAUAAUCGGCCGCCACAGCAUCCUCUACUCGGCAUCGCCGUCACCGGAAGGGCUGAGACGAUGCCGGAGAUCUAUGUUUGUUUCUUUCCCCACGCUUGCGUCCCCAUGCAGCUACUGCUGCUGCCAUAAGCGAAGUCAUCGCUGCCUGUUCUUCCUCCCAGAGCCGAUCCUUCUCUUCUUCGGCAGCCGCAGCCACUACGGCCAGCCACAACCGUGGCCAGCUUCGCGACCACCAGCAUUCCUCAUUUGAUCUCAUCACCAGUCACCUUCUGUGAGGAUUCCACCACCGCCGGAGGAGGAGCUAACGGACAGGGUAGUAUUGAAGGAACACUUGGUUCAAACUUUGUUUAGAGAUGAGUAUGAUCUAUUACAUGAAGAUUAUGAGCUUUAUCUUCUUCCAAGCAUUUUGGAAUCCAAAAAGUUAGCUAAAUCUGGACAAGCGAAACAAAAGUAUGCAGAUUUGGAAUAUAAUGUCACAAAACAAGUUGAGAAGAUGAUAAGAGUUUGUGAGGCGAAAUCUAUGUCGGAGGAGAAGGAAAAGAAGAUUGGAUUGAGAAGAAGUUUGUUAGUUUAAGUUUUUUUUGUGUAGUUUAUUGUGAACUUGUUGGAUGUGUAUUUUAUCAUGAUCUGUAUGGAUUUUUAUGGUACUUUGUUGUAUGGUACAACAAACUUUGAGGUAUGGAACUUGUGUGUAUUUGAUAUGUUAGUUUAAGAUUUGAUAUUAUUUUGUAGAUUUA